rnacentral:rRNA from 1 species
CUAACACAUGCAAGUCGAACGGCAGCACAGGAGAGCUUGCCCUCUGGGUGGCGAGUGGCGGACGGGUGAGGAAUACAUCGGAAUCUACCUUUUCGUGGGGGAUAACGUAGGGAAACUUACGCUAAUACCGCAUACGACCUACGGGUGAAAGUGGGGGACCGCAAGGCCUCACGCGAUUAGAUGAGCCGAUGUCCGAUUAGCUAGUUGGCGGGGUAAUGGCCCACCAAGGCGACGAUCGGUAGCUGGUCUGAGAGGAUGAUCAGCCACACUGGAACUGAGACACGGUCCAGACUCCUACGGGAGGCAGCAGUGGGGAAUAUUGGACAAUGGGCGCAAGCCUGAUCCAGCCAUACCGCGUGGGUGAAGAAGGCCUUCGGGUUGUAAAGCCCUUUUGUUGGGAAAGAAAUCCUAUCGGUUAAUAACCGGUGGGGAUGACGGUACCCAAAGAAUAAGCACCGGCUAACUUCGUGCCAGCAGCCGCGGUAAUACGAAGGGUGCAAGCGUUACUCGGAAUUACUGGGCGUAAAGCGUGCGUAGGUGGUGGUUUAAGUCUGCUGUGAAAGCCCUGGGCUCAACCUGGGAAUUGCAGUGGAUACUGGAUCACUAGAGUGUGGUAGAGGGAUGCGGAAUUUCUGGUGUAGCAGUGAAAUGCGUAGAGAUCAGAAGGAACAUCCGUGGCGAAGGCGG